AAAAAUCGUAAUACAAAGACAAACUUGCCCAAAAAUUCAAGUUUUCUUUGUUUUGUGAAAUUUUUUCCAAAACCCUUGUAAAAUGAAAUCCACCUCUUCUCUCCUCUUUAUGACAGUAGCCGACCCUCUUCAUUUCCCUUCCAGACCAGUUGCCUUUUCCCAGCAGUCACCAACCACAGCGAUUCUCUCCUUCCAUCACCGUCCCUCGCAUCUAGCUCGGACCUCCAGCCUCGCAUUCUGCAGCAAACAGAGUUUGGUAAAGAGAAGCCCAAAUUAGGAGAGUGAGGGAAGAACUGCUUUAACAAGCCAAACAGAACAAUCUUGCAUGACUAGCAUUGCCAAAGGCCUUUGUUUCUGUUGCAGCAAGAGAGUUCUAAACUUCCUGUUGCUUCUGUUUUUUUAUGUUAAGGGUCGAUUUGCGACUGUUCUAAGUUCACGAGUAUGGUUGUCAAGGAUACAUUAUCACACUCUUCUCUCAUAUAAGUUGCAUCAUUGUUGAGAUGUGAAGUUAACUUCGUUUCUUUAAAUUGAUCCAUCAA